rnacentral:rRNA from 1 species
UACGUAGGCAGCGAGCGUUGUUCGGAAUUACUGGGCGUAAAGAGUGUGUAGGCGGUGCUCUAAGUUCGGUGUGAAAUCUCCCGGCUUAACUGGGAGGGUGCGCCGGAAACUGGAGUGCUCGAGCGUGGGAGAGGAAAGCGGAAUUCCUAGUGUAGCGGUGAAAUGCGUAGAGAUUAGGAAGAACACCAGUGGCGAAGGCGACUUACUGGACUGUAACUGACGCUGAGGCAUGAAAGCGUGGGGAGCAAACAGG